rnacentral:miRNA from 1 species
CAGACCCUCCCUCCCAGACCUUCCCACCUCCUGGACAGCUCACUAAGAAUGCAGCUUCAAAAUGGAUGCUGUCCAGGAGGUGGGAAGGUCUGGGAGGGAGGGUCUG